UACGAAGGGGGCUAGCGUUGCUCGGAAUUACUAGGGCGUAAAGGGCGCGUAGGCUGGAUGAUUAAGUCGAGGGUGAAAGCCCGGGGGCUCAACCUCGGAACUGCCUUUGAUACGUGGUCAUCUUGAGUACGGGAGAGGUGUGUGGAACUCCGAGUGAUAGAGGUGAAAUUCGUAGAUAUUCGGAAGAACACCAGGUGGCGAAGGCGACACACUGGCCCGUUACUGAACGCUGGAGGC
rnacentral:rRNA from 1 species